rnacentral:rRNA from 8 species
GGUCAAGCUACAAAGGGCUCAUGGCGGA